GACGAAGGAUGCAAGCGUUAUCCGGAUUCAUUGGGUUUAAAGGGAGCGUAGGCGGAUUUGUAAGUCAGUGGUGAAAUCUUUGGGCUUAACCCAGAAACUGCCAUUGAUACUGCAGAUCUAGAGUACAGUUGCCGUUGGCGGAAUAUGACAUGUAGUGGUGAAAUACUUAGAUAUGUCAUAGAACACCGAUUGCGAAGGCAGCUAACGAGGCUGUAACUGACGCUGAGGCUCGAAAGUGCGGGGAUCAAACAGG
rnacentral:rRNA from 1 species